rnacentral:tRNA from 1 species
GGGCAGAUGGUGAAACGGUCAACACUACCACUUUCGACUAAGUCAAACUGUGGAUAUGAAGGUUCAAAUCCUUCUCUGUGCA